CACAGGUGACAGAGGGGUGUUGGGGGUGUAGAGGAGUGUACGUGGGUGACAGAGGAGCGCAGAGUAGUAUACAUGGAUAACAGAAGGGUGUAGGGGUGUAUAUUGGUAAUAGAGGGGUGUAGAGGAGUGUACAUGGGUGACGGAGGAGCUUAGAGGAGUGUAAAUGGGUAACAGAUGGGUGUAGAGUGGUGUACAUGGGUGACAGAGCGGUGUAGAGGAGUGUACAUGGGUAACAGAGGAGUGUAAAGGAGUGUACAGAGGUCUACAUUACCAUUACUUGAUUAACUGUUGUAUAUUAUAUAAAAUAUGUUACGAAAAUAUAUAUUAUAUUUUAAGUUCCUUUUUCCACUCCUUUUUCCAUAAUUCCUGAGAUAAGUAGUUCUGGCCCUAGAGUGUUAUAUAUAUUAGCGUCUGUAGCAUGUAUCAGGAACAUGUUAUCAUACCUGUGUCUUUUUUACAGAGGACUGAUGCCCGGGGAAUAGGUGAACGUGACAUAUACCCCCGUCAGCUGCAAGAAAGGAACCACGACACAGAGGACUGAUGCCCGGUGAAAAGGUGAACGUGACAUAUACCCCCGUCAGCUGCAAGAAAGGAACCAUGAAACAGAGGACUGAUGCCCGGGGAAUAGGUGAACGUGACAUAUACCCCCGUCAGCUGCAAGAAAGGAACCACGACACAGAGGACUGAUGCCCGGUGAAAAGGUGAACGUGACAUAUACCCCCGUCAGCUGCAAGAAAGGAACCAUGAAACAG